UCGAGCGAACAGGAUGAAGUGCUUGCACUUCUGACGUUAGCGGCGAACGGGUGAGUAACACGUAAGGAAUCUACCUAUAAGCGGGGGAUAACAUUCGGAAACGGGUGCUAAUACCGCAUAAUAUCUUCUUCCGCAUGGAAGAAGAUUGAAAGACGGCUCUGCUGUCACUUAUAGAUGACCUUGCGGUGCAUUAGUUAGUUGGUGGGGUAACGGCCUACCAAGACGAUGAUGCAUAGCCGACCUGAGAGGGUGAUCGGCCACAUUGGGACUGAGACACGGCCCAAACUCCUACGGGAGGCAGCAGUAGGGAAUCUUCCGCAAUGGGCGAAAGCCUGACGGAGCAAUGCCGCGUGAGUGAAGAAGGCCUUCGGGUCGUAAAACUCUGUUAUAAGAGAAGAACAAAUUGUAGAGUAACUGCUACAGUCUUGACGGUAUCUUAUCAGAAAGCCACGGCUAACUACGUGCCAGCAGCCGCGGUAAUACGUAGGUGGCAAGCGUUGUCCGGAUUUAUUGGGCGUAAAGGGAGCGCAGGUGGUUUCUUAAGUCUGAUGUGAAAGCCCACGGCUUAACCGUGGAGGGUCAUUGGAAACUGGGAAACUUGAGUACAGAAGAGGAAUGUGGAACUCCAUGUGUAGCGGUGGAAUGCGUAGAUAUAUGGAAGAACACCAGUGGCGAAGGCGACAUUCUGGUCUGUUACUGACACUGAGGCUCGAAAGCGUGGGGAGCAAACAGGAUUAGAUACCCUG
rnacentral:rRNA from 1 species